CAGGGACCGAACCCGCAACCUCAUGGUUCCUAGUCGGAUUCGUUAACCACUGCGCCACGACGGGAACUCCUAUAACACUCUAUUCUAUCUACAGUGUUAUUCAGGUCAUUUGAGAGAGCAGAAACAAGAGGUAAGCCCUAUCCUAGGUCAAAGAAUAACUGUUCUUGUGUACUCUUAAGUGGUAGAUAAUGUAAUUUGCAGAAUUAACGUGUAGGAUUGUAUCUUUUUUGAGGCAUCAAUGUGAACACAAAAUGUUACAUGUUCACAUAAGAGUUACUAAGGCUAGCCUAUUUCUCAACAUCCACACUACAAUAAAUGGCCAUACUGCCCAGUGAGUAUGGGCAGCUUAGAUCUCCCAGCAUUUAAAGACUUCAUCUGAUUACAGGAUGAUACCAGAGAUUAUGUGAUAAUAAAACAACCAACUGACAAUAUCUCUGAGUAAACUUGUGUUCAGAGGGACUCUGAGUUCAUACCUAAAAAGGAAUUCUGUGACCGAUUAUGGGUAAUUGAGAAUGUCAGCACACAUGCCUUAUACAUACUUAAAAUAGCAGAAGGGAUUUUCUUAACCCUUAAAUAAAGGUUGAGAUUCAGGGCUGGCAUUAGGAGAUUUGGCGGAAUGUGAUCCCAGGGAGCAACUGUGAUGGCAAAGAAAGUGACCAGGGAAUGAGAGAAAACCAGUACAAGAAUGCACCAUUGAGUGGGCUGUUGCUACUAAUGCCUGGCACUUUAUUCCAGGGGAGCCUUAGGAAAUGUAUCCCACAAUUAUUCACUAGGGAAACAAAGAGGGAACUAUUCAUUUAAAAGUUCCCUCCCCAGUCAUUCGAGGGAGGGUCCACAGACACCAACUCCUCAGCAUUUCCAAACUGCCUACCUGGGCACUGAGUGGGUCUUGGGGAAUCUCAGCUGCCAGUUUCCGAGGAGUCCCAGGGGAGGAGGUGAGAGCAGGUUCUGAGAUGCAGUGCUGUCAGGCUGAACUGUGCAAAGCUGAUCAAAGUCAUCACAGCAGUGAGUAGAGGCAGAGGUGGGACUAGAAAGAGAUGAAAUCAUGCUUAAAAGCUUGUCCAGUACCGUUCCUAUCAUGCCCACUCUUUGGGGUCUUAUUCUCAUAAUGAUUCAUGCUCAGUGGUUGAACAAAACUCCAUUGAAUUCCACCUAUUCAAAGAAGAAUACAUUCAAGCUACGAUCUUCUCAAAAACCGUAUUUCCUGGACCCACAUCAGGCAAUAUACUUCAGAUUUGAAUUUGUUCACUGAACACAGUGAAUCAUGCUGCCCAGCCUGAGAACACAACUGCUACAGAGGCAACAAGUUCAAUGAAAAAAAAUUACAGUGUCAACAUACUAAUAAAAUGAGGAAUUCUCAUCAUUCACCAUACAGUAUUAGCCUAACACAUAGUGAUGAUUAUUUCUGUGAAAGUUAACAUUUCCCAAAAGCUUUUGAGAAACGUACCAACACUAAUGAAGCAUAAAUUGAUAACUUAAGAAGUUUAGGAGUUACUGUUGCGGCUCAGUAGUGACGAACCUGACAAAUAUCUAUGAGGAUGCGGGUUUGAUCCCUGGCCUCAGUGAGCUGUGGUGUAGUUCACAGAUGUGGCUUGGAUCCUUUGCUGUUGUGGCUGUGGUAUGGGCUGGAAAUUGCAGCUCCCAUUCGAUGCCUGGACUGGGAACUUCCAUAUGCUGCGGGUUCGGCCCUAAAAACAAAAAUAAAACAAAACAAAAAGAAAUUUAGGUGUGCAAUAGUGUAUUAAAACUUCUUUUGGUCCAUGCAUCAUGAUGAGCUUACAAAGGUUGAGACAUCUUUUUUUUUUUUAAUUUUGAGAGACAUCAAUGUUUUUUCUUUUAUAGUAGAAAUGAUAAUUUAUACUUCUAUCAUUAGAAUGUUUUAAAAUUUUUAUUAAUCGACACAUCAUAAAUGAGAAAGUGAUUAUGUACCCAUUUCAAUCAUCUAUUUCAGCUUGCUUUGGAAAGGAAAAUAACUGUUUUCUGCUAAUUACAGAUUUAACUUAAGGUUAGCAGAUCUAUAAGCUGUGGUGAUUACAGGGGCCAGAUUUAGAGAUAGAUGGAGCUGAUAAUGUUACCAUCUCUUCCUCAACAUGAUUAAGAUUAUGGCCUCAAGCAGCAGAACACAGAUAAACACAUCAAGGAUUCUGAUAUCCUGGCAGAAUGGACAUCUGAUGUUGGAAACCUGCAGUGCUGCCUCCAGGGCACAGGCAGUUGGUAUCCUCAUCAAAUCUGCGGGAGGCCUCUAAAGGCAGUCACUUCAAUGCUUGCCCCCUCCCAGUGGUGCAUGCACAUACACCAAGCAGGUGGGCUAAGCUUAACAACAGCAGCUUAAGACACAGCUGAUGAAGUGUCAGCCCCUUUUUCUUUAUGAGCCUCACCCAGGUUCUCAGUUCAUUAGUCUCCUAAUAAUUAAUUCAGAAUGUUAGAUCUUUCCUCCACACAGAACACAUGGAUUCAUAUUCUAAGUGUGCCAGAGAGACAGAGAAGAGACAACAUUUAACAAUACCAUGGCACUGUGUUGGUCAGAUGCUGAUUGAUGUGGCCCAUGAUGGAUCAUCAUCAUCUAAGAUGAUUUUCCAAGGGUUGUACAGGAUGAACGAAACAGCGUCUUAUGGAGAAAACGACACCAAUGGGCUGGCCAAUUAGUCAGAGAUAAAAACAGCUCAGGAGGAGAUGUACACAUGGUGCAUCAAGAAGAAGACCAGAGCCUUAAGUCCCCAGUGCCACCUGGCAGUUUUGGGAAUGGUGGCUUCACUGUCCUGUGAAACGGAGCGAGUGCUAGUGCUAAGGACUCAGGGCUGAAAACCUAGGGAAAGGAAAUGGAGCUAAAGAAUCAAAAGAAUAAAACUAACCUGACAGGGAAGGGAGCUAUGCACUCAUCUCAUCUUCCACUCACAGCUGACAUUACUAAUCUCUCAUAAUACCAUCACUGACAAGCACUGAGAGAUCCUAAAAUUCUCAUUAACCCACACUUUUAGGCAGUUAAGUCAUCCUAUUUUUUGGAAGGAAUCAAUGUGUCAUCCUUGAUCUAUGACCAUAUCUUGUAUUAUUCUAAAAACCUCAAAUAUCUUAAUCUUUCAGAAGUUAAGGACAGAAAAGGGUCUUUGCAUAAACUACCAAGAAUCUUUCUUUUUCUUUUAACUGUAACUAAAAGUACCUAUUUAUCGUUUUAGCAUGUUCUGUCUGUGCUUUCCCUUUUCGUGUAAUAAUAAUGCUAACUUAGAUGGUUAUGAUUUUUAUUAUUGUUUAUGAUUUUUAUUUUUUCUAUUAUAGUUGAUUUACAGUGUUUUGUCAAUUUCUACUGUACAGCAAAGUGACCCAGUCAUAUACACAUAUAUUUUUUUCUUUUACAUUAUCCUCCAUCAUGUUCCAUCACAAGUAACUAGAUAUAUAGGUGAAGGGGCUAAGAGUUCAGAUCUUCAUCCAGAGUGCUUGCUGUUUGUCUAUGCUUUACAUAGAGGAAUCUGUCCAUGAUUAAUUUUAAGAAGGUCAAUUGCUUUAAAAAAGAUUUGGAAACCAUGAGAGUAAACUGUAUUUGAAGUCCUUUACUAGCACUCAGAGCUUCUUCAGCCAAGGCUACAGAGAGACUUCCCAGUUUGGCUGAGGCCUUGAGUGCUCUAUUUGAGUUGAAAGCUGUCCUAUCCUGUCCAGCAAUUCUAUCCCUAAAAUUAACAACAUUUUCCAAGUUCACUAUCAGAGGCAACAAGGAAAUUAUACAAUAAUGUAUCAUUAUUUUCUGAUCCUCCAGGCAUUUGUUUUACGUGCUGACACAGGAACAUUUGAUAACUCUCUUAGCUGUCUAACAGGGAAGGGCUAUCAAUUUUUACCAUGCAUCACUGAAUUACCUGGCCUUGCUAUAACCAUCAAAACAAGUUUGAUGAAAUCAUGGCCUUCAAGAGCAUUAAUUUUAUAUCAUUGAAAGGCAUCACUAAUGGUCACUGCUUGGUCUUAGUCUCAGGAAGAAACUGGGGUUAAAAUUCAUGAGCUACUCUUUGUCCUCAGAGUCACAGCUUACUCUUAAAAUUGUGUGUUUAAAUUUCGUGGCAGAUGAAAACAAUGCUAAAAGCUUUUCUUGUAAGAGGAAAAAUAUUCCAAGAGAAAAAGAUCUUUACUUUUAAUGGAGAAGGGGCCAAGAGAAAUUGUGCAGUGAGUCCUCCUGUGAUGAUAAGCUUGGGUGCCCUUAGCAUGUCCCAGCAGAAAGAGAGUUACGCUGAGAUAGGUCUUUGCUUAUCAAAGCUUCCUAAGACUCAAUUGUUCAACAAGUAUUUGUUGAGUACCUGCCUUGUGCCUGGCUCUGUGCUGGAUGCAUUGUACAAAUUAUUCAGAGAUCUUCAUAAUCACCCUAUGAUACAAUCACUUUGGGUGGCUCAGGUCAGCCCUUCUACAAGACGAUUGCGUUGAGACAUUACAAACAUUUUUCCUUGUUUAUUGAUUUAUUUAUAGAAUAUCACUCUCCAAAAUGUAAAAUAAAUUUGAAAUCAGUAUGGUAUUGUGAAAGGAGUUCAUACUGGACACACUGUUUGCCCCUGGGAUUGCAGACUGUCUCUUGCUGGUAGAAGGAGUCAUGGCUUACCAACGCUGAGACGAUUGCCUACUACUUACUGCUGUGAGCUUCUGCUCACAUGCUUCUGUUCUGUCCUUCAACAAUGAACUU
rnacentral:lncRNA from 1 species